GAAUGUGUUAUACAUAUUACAGUUGUGCUUCUCUUUUUUAUUUGUCAAUCUUGAAAAUUUUUAUUCUCAUCUUCCUUUAUAAAUUAGAAAAUAGAGCAUGGAUAGAGAAUUUUCUUUCUAAUACAUGUAUUUCCAAUACCCUUCUUUAGAAACAGUGAAGAUGAAGUGCAUGUAUUUUACCACUGAAUUUUUUUUUACUGUGAAUGCUGCUCCUUGUAGGACGUACCAAAUGUAUCUACUUUGAAUGAAAAAUUGGGAAAUAAAAUUCUAUUCUGAUCUUUUAUAUUCAGAUUUAUUAUCUGUGCCUAUUUUUUACCAGUACACUUAGAUCAAAACGUGUAACACACAUUUAUUUAGUUUAGGGUAUUGGAGAUGACAAGACCAGGUCUUAGUAUUUAUUGAAUGAAUAUUUUAUUUUUUUAAAAUGUAUAUAUAUAUAUAUAUGCAUGUACAUGUGUUAAGUUUUGCUAGACCACGAAUCUUUGUAUGUGUUUAAUUGUUUCCAACCUUUUGUCAGUAUUAGAGAAAAUAUCUGUGUAUUUAAACAUUUUGUUACAUUAUGCAUAUAAAAAGUUAUAUUUAUGUAUACAACACCAGAUUUUUAUAGAUAUUGUUUACACUAAGUACACAGAGUAGAGUUGUAACAUUGUUUGUCGCAACAAGACCCUUUUAUAAAUAUAUUGAGGUAAUCUCAGAAAGUGCUAAUUUAUGGAUUGACUAUUCCAUAUCUAACUUUUAAGGGAAUUUUAUUUGCCAUAUAUAUCCUAAGCAACACAAACUAAUUUUUUUUUCUCAAUCCUUUUCUGAAUAAAAAAUUUUGGGCAGGAAGGAUUUAUUUCCCUGCAUGACAUUAACAACG
rnacentral:lncRNA from 1 species